rnacentral:lncRNA from 1 species
GGUAGUGAUUAUGAGAAUUAAUUUUUUAACUAUUGAAGAGAAAAGUGGAUCUCAUCUAUUAGUGAAGUAAUAAAUAACGACUAGAAUAGUGGAAAAACAAUCAAAAAAUUAAUUUUUUAGGGGUGAAAAUUGCUACCAAACAGAAGCUUAAUAGCACAUUCGUGAAAUUAAUUCAAAUAUAAAUUAUUCAAAAGAAUAAUGUUACGUAUUCC